GAUAUGUCCGCCUACACUGAGAAA
rnacentral:piRNA from 1 species